rnacentral:lncRNA from 1 species
GCCCAUUUCCAAUCUUGAUAUUUAUUUUCUAUUGCCUUUCACUCCUUGCAGGUACCACUAUCUAAGGCUCAGAGAAUGUAAAUCACUUGCUUAAGGAAAUUCAGUGAAGAAUGGCCCAAAGCUCAUACAUUUUCCUGCUACACUGCUGUACCCCAGCUGGGCCCUUGAAGAUUGGCAUUCUCGAAUCAAAUGAAAAUGGAUUCCUCACAUUUUUCCAUGUGUGUGUGGAUGUUUAUGGGAAGAGGUGUUGGUGAGAAGAGACUGGUUGGGGCCAGACUGCCUCCAGAUUGCCCCAUGUCUGCUAUAAUGGCUGGACUGGCUGAGUCCUCAGCGGAUGCCAGAGACUGGGCUGUGCGUGUGCACAGGCAGACCUAUCUGUGAUUCUUGCAGUUCAUUCUACACUACAGAGAUUGAUAGAGGUCGCUCUCCUUCACUUAGAACUCUCUGGAUUUUAAACAGUCCCGAGGUUGUGUUACAUUGUUAUUGGAUGUGAUUUUCCAAAACCACGCUUCACUUUGAGUUUGCAUCAUGGUUGGGCAGCCUCCCCCACUACUUCAGAGGAAGAAGAUGGAGACCAGAUGAAGAGUUAGUAAAUAUACACAUAUAGCCUUUGCACAUUUCCUCUCUGAUUUUUGGCCUCAUGGGUUCAGUAAUCCUGGAAAUAUUUGAACUUGGCACUGCAAAUUCCAAGGGGCAUUGGUUACUGGAGGCCAGUGCUUGAAGCCUCUCCUGCUAAAACCCCAACACCAAAGAAAAUAUCUCAAGGCUACCAUGGGAACUCACUGCAUGUUCAGCCAAUCAGAUCUUUGGGAGGAGGGUUCAAACCCUCUCCUUUGGCUAAGCCUGUCCGAUGCAGUGGGAGAGCUGCCAGCCGGCUUCCCCUGUGCCUAGCAUGGAGCUCAGCACAUGAAUAGCUGUCAGCAACUGAAAGGAAAAUAAUUUGGCCAUCAGAAGAGAACUAGCCACUGUCACUGUCCAAAUGGUAAAGGGAUAAACAGCAAAAUGGUUCACCUCCAGUGGAUCCACUUCCAAAAGAUGACAAUCUGCAUGCACUUUGGGUUAUGAAACUCCAGCUCUAGUGGAAGCCAACUGCCAUGGGAGAGACCCAUAAGAAGAGCUCCACAUGGCAAAGAAGCGAUGUCUCCAGUCAACAGCCACGUGAGUGAACUUGGGAGCACACAGUCCCCCAAGCAAGCCUUGAGAUGACCACAGCCCCAGCCAACGCCUUGAAGUAGGCUUGCUGGAGAUCUGAAUCUGAAGCAUCCAACUAAACUGUGCCUCGACUCCUGACUCAGAAACCUUGAGAUAAUACGUUUGCUAUUUUAAGCCAAAUAGUUUUGGCAUAAUUUGUUAUGCGAAAAUAACUAAUAUAAUUACCAUAGAUUAGUUUUGUCCUUGAAUUUCAGAAAAAUGAAAUAAUACAGUAUAUAUUCUGUCAUACCGGGUUUUAUUUGUUUAACAGUAUGUCUAUAAGAUUCAUUCAUGUUGACGUAUGGGUCAGUAGUUCAUUGUAUGAAUAUAGGACAAUUCUUCCAUUUUCCUGUUGGUAAACAUAUGGGUUAUUUCUAGUAUUAUGCUUUUUUGAAUAAAGUUGAAAAAAGGUGCUAUGAACAUUCUUUUACAAGUCUUUCUAUGAAACUAUUUUUUCAUUUUUUUAGGUAAAUACCCAUGAGUCCAAUUGCUCAGCCACUGUUAGUUAAUCUUAGAAGAAACUUCAAAAUGGAUUCCAAAGUGGCUAUAACCCUUUUCAACUUCUUUUUCAAAGUGUUAAGAUUUCCUUUUAUUUACCUUUUCUCCUUUUUUGAGCUUCUUUAGGUAAAAACUUAGAUCAUUGAUUUUUAAUUCUUCCUUCUUUCUAAUAUUAGCAUUUAAAGUUAUAAAUUGCUCACUAAGCAUUGCUUAAUUGCAUUCCACAAAUUUUGAUAUGUUGUGUUUUAAAGUGUCAUUUGGUUAAAAAUAUUUUCUAAAUUCUAACUUUUCAUUCUUCCCCAGAGGUAGAUUAUUUUGAAGUAUACCUCUUGAUUUUCAUAUAUUUGAGAUUUUUAUAUUUAUUGUUAUUGAUUUCUAAUGUCACUGUAGUCAGAAA